rnacentral:rRNA from 1 species
UACGUAGGGGGCUAGCGUUGUCCGGAAUCAUUGGGCGUAAAGCGCGUGUAGGCGGUCCGGUAAGUCCGCUGUGAAAGUCGAGGGCUCAACCCUCGAAUGCCGGUGGAUACUGUCGGGCUCGAGUCCGGAAGAGGCGAGUGGAAUCCUGGUGUAGCGGUGAAAUGCGCAGAUAUCAGGAGGAACACCAAUGGCGAAGGCAGCUCGCUGGGACGUGACUGACGCUGAGGAGCGAAAGCAUGGGGAGCGAACAGG